ACCACACCAAGUCAGGCGGGGCCACCCGCUGAGUUUAAGCAUAUCAAAAAGCGGAGGGAAAGAAACUUAUGAUGAUUCCCCUAGUAACGUCGAACGAACUGGGAAGAGCCCAGCUUGAGAAUCGGGUGAUGACAGCGCCUGAAUCUUAGUUGCAGAAGCGUCCUCAGCGACGGAUCGGGCCCAAGUCCCCUAGACAGGGGUGCUGGAGAGGGUGAGAACCCCGUCGUGCCUGGACACUACUGCACCACGAGACGCAGUCGGGGAGUCGGGUUGUUUGCGAAUGCAGCCCCAAUCGGGCGGUAAAUUCCGUCCAAUGCUGAAUACGGGCGACAGACCGAUAGCGAACAAGUACCGUGAGGGAAAGAUGAAAAGGACUUUGAAAAGAGAGUCAAAGAGUGCAUGAAAUUGCCGGGACAGAAGCUGAUGGGAACGGCGAUGCGGCCCUGCCGAAUGCGGAACGGGGACGAGGAAGCUGAAGCGCAGGAUGCGGGCCUCGCUAGCGGCUGUAGCCCGGGCGGAUAACCACGCCUGAGGAAACGUCGUCGGCGCGGCCGUUGUCGCAGCGCGUGCCAAGCCCUCGGUGUGUCCACCAGCGCAUGGGCACGCUCUAGGCACCGGUCCGCCGGCCCCCUAUCCAACCAGUCUUGAAACACGGACCAAGGAGUCUGAUAUGCGUGUGAGCCAACGGGCACAGAAACUCGUAAGGCGCAAGGAAGCUGAAGCACAGGAUCUCGCCCAAGGGGUGCACCGCUAACCGACCCCGAUCUUCUGUGAAGGGUUUGAGUUGGAGCAUGCCUAUCAGGACCCGAAAAUGGUGAACUAUACCUGAGCGGGGCAUAGCCAGAGGAAACUCUGGUAGAGGCCCGUAGCAAUACUGACGUGCAAAUCGUUCGUCUGACUUGGGUAUAGGGGCGAAAGACUAAACGAACCAUCUAGUAACUGGUUCCCUCCGAAGUCUCCCUCAGGAUAGCUGGAGCCCGUACGCGAGUUCUAUAGGGUAAAGCCAAUGAUUAGAGGCAUCGGGGGCGCAACUCCCUCGACCUAUUCUCAAACUUUAAAUAGGUAGGACGGCGCGGCUGCUCUGGUGAGCCACGCCACGGAAUCGAGAGCUCCAAAUGGGCCAUUUUUGGUAAGCAGAACUGGCGAUGCGGGAUGAACCAGAAACUGGGUUAUGGUGCCCGACUGCGCGCUAACCCAGAAUCCACAAAGGGUUUUGGUCGAUUAAGACAGCAGGAUGGUGGUCAUGGAAGUUGAAAUCUGCUGAGUGUGUAACAACUCACCUACCGAAUCAACUAGCCCCGAAAAUGGAUGGCGCUGAAGCGCGCGACCCACAAUCGGUCAUCGGGGCGAGCGCUGGCCGCGAAGCCCGGGGCGCGUGCCCGGGCGGAGCGACCGCCGAUGCCGAUCUUGGUGGUAGUAGCAAAUAUUUAAAUAAGAACUUUAAAGGCCGAAGAUGGGAAAGGUUAAAUGUGAACGGCACUUGCACAUGGCUUAGCCGAUCCUAAGGGACGGGGGAGGCCCGUCAGAGAGCGCAUCCGCGAGUGAGCUCCGAAAGGGAAUCGGGUUAAAAUUCCCGAGCCGGGACAUGGGCGGGUGACGGCUACGUUAGGGAGUCCGGAGACGCCGGCGGGGGCCUCGGGGAGAGUUAUCUUUUCUGCUUAACGGCCGACCCACACUGAAAACGGCUCAGCCGGAGGUAGGGUCCAGCGGCCAGAAGAGCACCGCACGUCGCGUGGUGUCCGGUGCGCACACAAGGCCCAUGAAAAUCUGGAGGACCGAGUGCCACCCACGCCCGGUCGUACUCAUAACCGCAUCAAGUCUCCAAGGUGAACUGCCUCCGGCCGAUGGAACAAUGUAGGCAAGGGAAGUCGGCAAAACGGAUCUGUAACUUCGGGAAAAAGGAUUGGCUCUGCGGGCUUGGCACGGGGGUCCCAGCCUCGAACCCAUCGGCUGUCGGAGGACGGCUCGAGCUGCAUCCGCGGCGAGAGCGGGCCACCAUGUGCCGGCCGGGGGAUGGACCGGGAACGGCCUGCGAGCCGAACAGGCGUCUCAGAACUGGUAUGGAAAAGUAGAAUCUGACUGUUUCAAACAAAGCAUUGCGAUGGUCCCCGCGGAUGCUCACGCAAUGUGAUUUCUGCACAGUCCUCUGAAUGUCAAAGUGAAGAAAUUCAACCAAGCGCAGGUAAACGGCAGGAGUAACUAUGACUCUCUUAAGGUAGCCAAAUGCCUCGUCAUCUAAUUAUUGACGUACAUGAAUGGAUUAACGAGAUUCCCACUAUCCCUGUACUGGAGGUGGGGCUCCGCCCCUCCUUUUGGCUCCAAAGACGCGCCCCGCGCGCGGCCGAUCUGAUCAGAAGCCAUUGUCAGGUGGGGAGUUUGGUUGGUGUGGCACAUCUGCUAAAAGAUAAUGCAGGUGUCCUAAGAUGAGCUCAAUGACAAUAGAAAUCUCGUGAGGCACGAAAGGGUAAAAGCUCGUUUGAUUCUGAUUUCCAGUACGAAUAAGAACCACGAAAGCGUGGCCUAUUGAUCCUUGAGCCCUUCGGGAUUUGAAGCAAGAGGUGUCAGAAAAGUUACCACAGGGAUAACUAGCUUGUGGCAGCUAAGUGAUAAGUGCUCAUAGUAUAGUAACGCAAAGCGUUAUUAUCUUACAAUGAACAUAUUUUUUAUUAGAUUUUAUCACUAAAUUGUGUGCAUUUGUGUAUUGUU
rnacentral:rRNA from 1 species